CAAGUUUUUAAGGGCGCACGGUGGAUGCCUUGGCACCAGGAACCGAUGAAGGACGUGGGAGGCCGCGAUAGGCCCCGGGGAGCUGUCAACCGAGCUGUGAUCCGGGGGUGUCCGAAUGGGGAAACCCGGCAGUCGUCAUGGGCUGUCACCCAUACCUGAACACAUAGGGUGUGUGGAGGGAACGCGGGGAAGUGAAACAUCUCAGUACCCGCAGGAAGAGAAAACAACCGUGAUUCCGGGAGUAGUGGCGAGCGAAACUGGAUGAGGCUAAACCGUAUGUGUGUGAUACCCGGCAGGGGUUGCGCAUGCGGGGUUGUGGGAGCGAGCUUCGGUCGUCUGCCGGCGGCUGGGUGAGUCAGAAACCAUUGCGAUAGGCGAAGGGCAUGCGAAAGGCCCGGCGUAGAGGGUAAGACCCCCGUAGCUGAAAUCGUGGUGGCUUGCUUGCUUGUUUCCCAAGUAGCACGGGGCCCGAGAAAUCCCGUGUGAAUCUGGCGGGACCACCCGCUAAGCCUAAAUAUUCCCUGGUGACCGAUAGCGGAUAGUACCGUGAGGGAAUGGUGAAAAGUACCGCGGGAGCGGAGUGAAAUAGUACCUGAAACCGUGUGCCUACAAGCCGUGGGAGCGUCGGGCAUCAGCUUGCUGGUGUCUCGUGACUGCGUGCCUUUUGAAGAAUGAGCCUGCGAGUUUGCGGUGUGUUGCGAGGUUAACCCGUGUGGGGAAGCCGUAGCGAAAGCGAGUCCGAAUAGGGCGGUGUAGUAGCGCGCUCAAGACCCGAAGCGGAGUGAUCUAGCCAUGGGCAGGUUGAAGCGGAGGUAAGACUUCGUGGAGGACCGAACCCACCAGGGUUGAAAACCUGGGGGAUGACCUGUGGUUAGGGGUGAAAGGCCAAUCAAACUCCGUGAUAGCUGGUUCUCCCCGAAAUGCAUUUAGGUGCAGCGUCGUGUGUUUCUUGCCGGAGGUAGAGCACUGGAUAGGCGAUGGGCCCUACCGGGUUACUGACCUUAGCCAAACUCCGAAUGCCGGUAAGUGAGAGCGCGGCAGUGAGACUGUGGGGGAUAAGCUCCAUGGUCGAGAGGGAAACAGCCCAGAGCAUCGACUAAGGCCCCUAAGCGUACGCUAAGUGGGAAAGGAUGUGGAGUCGCAGAGACAACCAGGAGGUUGGCUUAGAAGCAGCCAUCCUUGAAAGAGUGCGUAAUAGCUCACUGGUCAAGUGAUUCCGCGCCGACAAUGUAGCGGGGCUCAAGCGUACCGCCGAAGUCGUGUCAUUGCAGCAUGAGACCUAACGGUUGUUGUGAUGGGUAGGGGAGCGUCGUGUGCCGGGUGAAGCAGCACCGGAAGGUAGUUGUGGAUGGUUCACGAGUGAGAAUGCAGGCAUGAGUAGCGAUUCACACGUGGGAAACGUGUGCGCCGAUUGACUAAGGGUUCCUGGGUCAAGCUGAUCUGCCCAGGGUAAGUCGGGACCUAAGGCGAGGCCGACAGGCGUAGUCGAUGGACAACCGGUUGAUAUUCCGGUACCCGCUUUGAAGCGCCAGCGCUGAACCAGGCGAUGCUAAGUCCGUGAAGCCGCCCUGGAUCCUUCGGGUGAAGGGGAGUGGUGGAGCCGACGGUCCAGACCUGUAGUAGGUGAGUGAUGGGGUGACGCAGGAAGGUAGUCCAGCCCGGGCGGUGGUUGUCCCGGGGUAAGGGUGUAGCCCGAGGGGUAGGUAAAUCCGUCUCUCAUAUAAGGGUGAGACCUGAUGCCGAGCCGAUUGUGGUGAAGUGGAUGAUCCUAUGCUGUCGAGAAAAGCCUCUAGCGAGUUUCAUGGCGGCCCGUACCCUAAACCGACUCAGGUGGUCAGGUAGAGAAUACCGAGGCGUUCGGGUGAACUAUGGUUAAGGAACUCGGCAAAAUGCCCCCGUAACUUCGGGAGAAGGGGGGCCAUUGCUGGUGAUCACCCUUGCGGUGUGAGCUGGUGGUGGCCGCAGAGACCAGCGAGAAGCGACUGUUUACUAAAAACACAGGUCCGUGCGAAGCCGUAAGGCGAUGUAUACGGACUGACGCCUGCCCGGUGCUGGAACGUUAAGGGGACCGGUUAGUCACAUUUCGGUGUGGCGAAGCUGAGAACUUAAGCGCCAGUAAACGGCGGUGGUAACUAUAACCAUCCUAAGGUAGCGAAAUUCCUUGUCGGGUAAGUUCCGACCUGCACGAAUGGCGUAACGACUUCUCGACUGUCUCAACCAUAGGCCCGGUGAAAUUGCAUUACGAGUAAAGAUGCUCGUUUCGCGCAGCAGGACGGAAAGACCCCGGGACCUUUACUACAGCUUGAUAUUGGUGUUCGGUUCGGCUUGUGUAGGAUAGGUGGGAGACUGUGAAGCCGCAACGCCAGUUGUGGUGGAGUCGUUGUUGAAAUACCACUCUGGUCGUGCUGGAUGUCUAACCUGGGUCCGUGAUCCGGAUCAGGGACAGUGUCUGGUGGGUAGUUUAACUGGGGCGGUUGCCUCCUAAAGGGUAACGGAGGCGCCCAAAGGUUCCCUCAGCCUGGUUGGCAAUCAGGUGUUGAGUGUAAGUGCACAAGGGAGCUUGACUGUGAGACUGACGGGUCGAGCAGGGACGAAAGUCGGGACUAGUGAUCCGGCGGUGGCUUGUGGAAGCGCCGUCGCUCAACGGAUAAAAGGUACCCCGGGGAUAACAGGCUGAUCUUCCCCAAGAGUCCAUAUCGACGGGAUGGUUUGGCACCUCGAUGUCGGCUCGUCGCAUCCUGGGGCUGGAGUCGGUCCCAAGGGUUGGGCUGUUCGCCCAUUAAAGCGGUACGCGAGCUGGGUUUAGAACGUCGUGAGACAGUUCGGUCCCUAUCCGCUGUGCGCGUAGGAGUCUUGAGAAGGGCUGUCCCUAGUACGAGAGGACCGGGACGGACGAACCUCUGGUGUGCCAGUUGUUCUGCCAAGGGCAUGGCUGGUUGGCUACGUUCGGGAGGGAUAACCGCUGAAAGCAUCUAAGCGGGAAGCCUGCUUCGAGAUGAGGGCUCCCACCUCCUUGAGGGGUUAAGGCUCCCAGUAGACGACUGGGUUGAUAGGCCAGAUAUGGAAGCCGGGUGACCGGUGGAGUUGACUGGUACUAAUAGGCCGAGGGCUUGUCC
rnacentral:rRNA from 1 species